UACGUAGGGGGCUAGCGUUAUCCGGAAUUACUGGGCGUAAAGGGUGCGUAGGUGGUUUCUUAAGUCAGAGGUGAAAGGCUACGGCUCAACCGUAGUAAGCCUUUGAAACUGGGAAACUUGAGUGCAGGAGAGGAGAGUGGAAUUCCUAGUGUAGCAGUGAAAUGCGUAGAUAUUAGGAGGAACACCAGUUGCGAAGGCGGCUCUCUGGACUGUAACUGACACUGAGGCACGAAAGCGUGGGGAGCAAACAGGAUUAGAUACCCUGGUAGUCCCUGA
rnacentral:rRNA from 1 species